AACGCACCUUGCGCUCCUUGGUAUUCCGAGGAGCAUGCCUGUUUGAGUGUCUUGAAAUCAUCAAGUCCCCGGAUUCGCGUCCGGAGGCUUGGACUUGGGGGUCUUUGCUGCGCUUUUGGCGCGGCUCCCCUUAAAUGAAUCGGUUGUGGCCCGUCCGGCUUCAGUCCUCGGCGUUGUAUUCACCUCGCCCCGCGUCUCGUCGGCAGCGCCCUUCCCCGACCGCCUUUGGAGCGGCGGUCAAGACUACAAUUUGAAAUCUGACCUCAAAUCAGGUAGGACUACCCGCUGAACUUAA
rnacentral:misc_RNA from 1 species